AUUGAACGCUGGCGGCAGGCCUAACACAUGCAAGUCGAGCGGAUGAAGGGAGCUUGCUCCUGGAUUCAGCGGCGGACGGGUGAGUAAUGCCUAGGAAUCUGCCUGGUAGUGGGGGAUAACGUCCGGAAACGGGCGCUAAUACCGCAUACGUCCUGAGGGAGAAAGUGGGGGAUCUUCGGACCUCACGCUAUCAGAUGAGCCUAGGUCGGAUUAGCUAGUUGGUGGGGUAAAGGCCUACCAAGGCGACGAUCCGUAACUGGUCUGAGAGGAUGAUCAGUCACACUGGAACUGAGACACGGUACAGACUCCUACGGGAGGCAGCAGUGGGGAAUAUUGGACGAUGGGCGAAAGCCUGAUCCAGCCAUGCCGCGUGUGUGAAGAAGGUCUUCGGAUUGUAAAGCACUUUAAGUUGGGAGGAAGGGCAGUAAGUUAAUACCUUGCUGUUUUGACGUUACCAGCAGAAUAAGCACCGGCUAACUUCGUG
rnacentral:rRNA from 1 species